GCUGGGGUGGGGAGCCCUGCGGCAGCUCCCCUCCUCGAGGCACCCCCACGGCAGCUCCCCAGCUCACCUCUGCUCUGCCUCCUCCCCGAGCACACCACCCCCACUCUAACUCUCCUCCCCUCCCAGGCUUGUGGCGCCAAACAGCUGAUUGGCGCUGUAAGCCUGGGAGGCGGGAGAAGUGGAGUUGCGACUGUGCGCUCGGGGAGGGGGUGUAGGAACGAUGUAAAAAAAAAUUGGGGGCACUGCUUUUUGGCUCCCCCAAAUCUUGGCGCCCUAGGCAACCGCCUAGUUUGCCUAAAUGGUAGCACCGGCCCUGGUUGUAUUCCUGGUGUGCUGGACCACUGUGAUCCCUUCAUGGAACACCAGCAUUGUGCACAGACUCCUGGUCAGAGUUGUGCGGGGGGGGGGGAGGGUUAGCGGGAUCCUCCCCUACAAAAUGUACCCUUUAGCCUAGAAGAAGAUGAAAUAGGCUGGGAGCCUUGAGAUCAGGAGCCAAGACCUGGCGUACUCUAAACAGUUAAGUCAACACAAGACAGCUUACAUUGACUUAACUGUGUAUGCAUUUACACUUCAUCUACAUCUACAGCUCUGGCCACUGUAACUGCCCCAUGAUGCUGUCUUAAUAACACCACAUCCCCGAGUGGUGUAGAGUCAAGGUCGACGUAGUUAAGUCAAUGCAGUGUCAGUGUAGACCCUGUGUUACUUACAUCAACUGUUCGUGGUCUCCAGGAGGUGUCUCCACCCUGACUGCUCUGGUCACCAUUGUGAACUCCAUUGCCCAGCGGCCAGGGAACUGCUCCUCCCCUUUAAAGCCCUGCAUUUUUGAAAUGCUAUGUCCUGGUUGCCCAGCUUGGAGAGCACACCUAGCAACUCUAGAGCAUGCCGGGCAACUGCCCAGCUAACCACGUUGGCUACACGCUGCAGACGCACUCCUGCCUGGAGUACACAGGACAUGGUGGAUCUCCUGGGUCUGCCAGGCACAGGUCCGAUCCAGCCAUAGAAACAUCAACAUCUACAAGCAGAUCGCUUGGGUCAUGGAAGUACAAGGGCUAUAGGAGGGAUGCAGCAAUGCCGUGAGAAAGCCAAGGGGCUGCUUCAGGCGUACCAGAAGGCAAGGGAGGCUAACAGUUGCUCUGGUGCAUAGUUACAGACCUGCUGCUUUUACAAAGAGCCAUCCUCAAACUCCACCCCACACCCACACACCAAGAGCCCCGUGGACACUGGGAGGUCCCUGCCGUGAGCACGGACAAGGAAGACAAGGACUUGGAGGAUCACCCUUGCAGACAACAUGGACAGGGACAGAGCGGAGAGGAGAAAGGCGCAGGAAAAGGAGAAGAAUGUGCAGCAGGAGAUGCUUGUACAUCUCAGGCAGCAGACAGACAGGCUGCAGACUCUGGUGGACCUGCAGGUUCAACAAUCCCAUGCUAACCUCUCUCUGCAGCCCAUAAAGAACUGCAUAUCGGGACCUCCCUACACCCCUGCAACAUUCCCCAUGGCAUCAGGGGUUGCUGAACUACCCCUAUCCCUCCACUUCUGGGACAUUAAAGACAUUCACAGCUUCACAUGUCUUUCACAGCUCUCAGUCUGGUGUCCCUGUGCUGGAGGUCUGGGGCGAGUCUGGUGCACAGAUCCAGGAAUGUGGCCUUGUUCGUCUGAAAGUUCUGCAGCCACUACUCGUCAUCACAAACCUGUAUGACAAUGCGAUCCCACCAGUCAGUGCUUGUUUCUUGGGCUCAAAACUGGCACUCUACUGUCUGAAGCUGCUCUGUGAAUGCCACCAACACCUUUGAUUUGUUUCUUUUUAUGUCCCACGGCAAGCUAGCCUCCAGAGAAUCAUCACGUUCCCUGUGGCUCCCCUUGUGGCUCUGCAAAUACUGGAGGAUCAGGUGGAUAUUCACGCAACACUCAUCACACUAGUGCAGAGCUGUGCAUGAUCUAUGCGUCUGUCACAGAUGGCAGACAGUGAGGAGGGACAUUCAGGUUUGUGCAGGUGAUUUUGAAAAGGACACAAAAUAUCAUGGGAUGCAGAUGAAAUUAUGAGAUAGAGAACACUGCAUUGUAGGAAGUUGAACCCAUGCUACCAGACACCCUGUGUGGUUCGUUUCAGCCCCACGAAGCAUUGCAAAAUCUUCCCAAAACACCCUGCGCUACAUGGCGGCAAGUUGCGCAAUGGGACAGCUACCCACAGUUCACUGCUCUCUGCAUCGAUACAAGCGCUCCUAGUGAGAAUGCGCACUGCCGACACAAGGAGCAUAAUGUGGACACACAGAAGCAAUGUAAUAACUGCAGCAGCUUUGUGCCAGCAUAAUUUAGGUCUACAUAAUUUUGUAGUGUACACAUGGCCCAAAUCUCUUCUGCUGCUGACUGCUAUCAAUAUAGCUGCAUGUUUUACAACCCUUAUUUUUGCCAAAGGUUCAUUAUGCUAGGAGCAGACAACUCUCAUUUCUCCAGUUCUACAUUUAAACUAACUGAGAUUGCACAAGGUCACAUCAGGUAGAACUGGGAUUAGAACUCAACUCUCCAAUAGUAUAGACCCAAGUCAUUUGAAUGCUAACACAGUCUUUUGCCACAAAGUUGAUCACUGUAUAUGUUUUCUAGCCACUGCUGAAAUCAACAGAAAUGUUUCCCUUCCAGAUCCAGGAACAGAACCCAAGAAUUCUGAUUUCCCACCAUCCUUGGUCAUUAAAUGGCUAUGCAGCCCACUUGAAAAGUGUGUUAGUUCAAAUAGUUAAGAGAAGGCAUUUAGCUGGGAAGGCCUUGUGUUCAAACUCAGUUGCUGAUCCGUGAUGAGGAUGCUGUGGUUCUAAGUGAUGGAAUUUCUGUUCUGCUAAUUAAGGUUGUAAUGAAGUUUAUUUUUAAAACCAAAUUUUGUCAGAUUUGAGAGGAUGCAGAUUGUCAGAUCAGCCUGAACUUAUGUUGGGGGCCUGAGAUACAGUCCAUGAAGUCACUCCUAGGAGAGCCAAGGACUUUCUGUGAUGCUCUGUACCUCGGGGGAACACCCAGCACCCCCAUGUUCAUCCUUGUAAAAUGAUUGUGUGGUAUCCAAUGCAAAAUUUGUCAUGUCAGGUGUCUUCGGAAGGCUCAUGAUGCACUGAGCAUGGUUGUUAUAUUGAUGUUAUAAUAAUUGUUAGAGUGAUGUUAUAGUAAUGUUAUAGGUUAUAAUUUCAUGAAUAUAGUUGAGACUGAAAAUGAAUCCUCAUGGGUUAAAGCAAGGCCAGGCAAAAGCUCUUCAAGAGCAGAGGGGCAGUUCACACCUCAUCAGGGCAUGGAUGGGACAAACCCAGUGCAGCCUCACAGGAACAAAGGACACUGGCCUAGGCAGCAAUAAAAGAAUCUCUUAGACUCUCGAGGGAGUCACCCUCCUUCUUUUGGUCAGUUUGGAACUGCAAUGAGGUAAUGCUCACCUGACUCUGAAGGGUGGGGGCAAAGCCAAGAGGGAAGAAAGAACAUGAUAAAAGGGAAAGACAUUUUGCCAUGUUCUCUCUCUCUUCCACCUCCAUCUGCAGACACCACCACCCAGCAACUGAAGCGCUGAUCAAAGGGGAGAGCCUGGCUGAAGAGCAAUCAGCCAGCUUGUGGUGAGACGCAUCUACGUUUGUACGGACAUUAAAAGUGUUAAGAUCAGCUUAGGAUGCAUUUUCUUUUUAUUUCAUUUGACCAAAUCUGACUUGUUAUGCUUUGACUUAGAAUCACUUAAAAUCUAUCUUUAUAGUUAAUAAAUCCGUUUGUUU